GAGGACUGCUUCCGUCUGCCAAGCGAGCCGGGAGAUACUGAGAUACUGCUGCAUCAAACAAACUCCAGAGAGAGCGAGAGAGCGCGAGAGAAAUCUCAAGUGAAGGGCUUUAGCCUAUUUAGGUUACCAAUCAUUCAUCCCACUUGCAUGAAGACGAUUUAAAUGACCACACCAAUAUAAUUUUCCCGCAUUAUUAUUUGUACUGAACCAUUUUGCAUCAACAUUGUGUUUUGCUUUUCAUGCAGCCAUUGGCAUCCAUUUACAAAGAAAAUGUAUAUUCCUUUGCAUUGUCAAACCCCCCACAAACUAGAUGACUUCUCUGAUGGGUAAAUUAUAUUUGAUUUCCAAGCUCCAGCCAUGAAAACCCCACGUUUUCUCAUACGUGUUGACACUCAUCCAGAGCCACGGAGGACAGUUUACAGCUUUUCCCGCAAGCUGUGUGGAACUCUUCAUGACAAAUAAACUGACCUUCAUGUGUAAAAUCAAUGAAGCGCCCCUUAAAUUUGGUCCAAGCCACAUUAUGAAUGUGAACAUAAAAUGCAUUACCACAACUGGUUAUGAUAAUGCGACUAGUGCAGCCAUGUCAGCUUUACUGUGAUACAUAGAACAUUAGCAUUGCUUUUCUACACAGACUGCUAUUAGAGUAUUGAGGGGAGCAGCUGCCUAUAGGAAGAAGGCAUGGCAAUAAGUUAAACUUCCCAACAUGCAUAAAAAAAUGCAUUAUGAUUUAUAGCUCCGUGGGUAAAGUAAAAUAUUGUAAACUACAAAAUAAUCUCUAAAAGAGAGAUGAGUAUUUAGUCAAUGUUAUCUUACUUCUUGUAACGCGCAACAAUGCACCUAUGGAGUUGAAUAAACUGACUGACUAAAAGAGAAAAAAAAGUGCAUUCAGUCCAAUUUCUUUUUUUCUACAAGAUCUUUUGAUUUUUGUCUCACGUAACAGGCAACCCCGCUGAACAAACAACACAUCCGCCCAUCUGUUCUUAUCAGACUGAUCUUUCUUUACACAGAAUGAAAUUCAUUUUGUCACCCUCAGCUUUAGCACGGUAUGGAGGUAUGCCAAUAAAGAAUAGACUGAGGUGAACUGAAAGCCAGUAAAAGACGCAUUCAGAACCAUGGACAGCUCACUGUGCGUCCUAACUAGGCCAAAGACUUUGCUCCUGUUCUUGCCACUACUUAUUUUAUCAUGUCAAUCUAAAUUCAGCUUGGAACAGACUAAAUAUGAACUGAAUACUGUUACAUCCGGGAGCUCUUGUGGCAGAACACUCAGGAAACAUACGGCAUGGUCUGCAGACUGAAAAACGACAGGUAACAGAAUGUGAAGUUUGAUGAAACAUCAGUCUACCUAAUGCAGCAGGAGGACCACAGAGUUAUUGCCUUCUUGUAGGCCUUCGACCACCUGUCACAUUUGACCGCUUUGAUCAAAGUUAUUCUUAAGAGGUCAACAUUUACCUUGAUGUAUAGUACUACAAAGCUGAGCACACACGGAAGCUCUUUCUCCCAUGCACACUUGUUGGAGGACAGAAUAAUCUUGUUCGAAAUGAUUAUUAGAACCCUAAAUAAAACUCAGCAGUAAAAUAACCGCCACAUGGCAGAAGACUGCUAGUGAAAGUAAUGCGAUGCGGAUAUAUUCAAGGACGUUUUAUAAACUUGUAAUGAAGUGACUUUACCCAACUACCAUUCACUGUCCUACACAGAGCAGUAUAAGAACACUGUAAAAAAUGUCACCGUAAAUUAACGGUGACUUACUGGAAGCAAGGACGCCAUAAAUUUACCGUUAUUUUACGGCAUAAUACCAUAAAUGAUUUUAACACUUUGUUCCCGUAAAAUGGAUUACAGUAAAUUGGCGUGAACUUUACAGUUCUGGCCAAAUACUGGCAGCGGAUGCCAGUAAUUUGCUCUUUUUUUAUGGUACACUGCCGUAGAACACAGUAUGUUGCCGUAUAUUGGACUACAGUUUGUUAUCAUAGGAUUACUGUUUUUGUGUUAUAAAUAACAGAAUGUUACCGUUUACUUAUAUACUUUUGCAUUUAAUUCCCCGCAAAUUAGAGAAAGACAACCACAACUCAUUUUGGUCAUAGUGGUUGGAGUUUAUUAGAUGCCUUUAAGACAAAAAUGUUAGACAUUUGUAACCAAGAACAAAACAUAAAAUAUGCCGCAUGUAUACAAUAACAAAAAAAUUAAUCCUAAAAUUAUAAGGAACAAGGUAAACUAACUGCAACAAUACGCUAUGGAACACUUUCAAUUGACCGCAGCAAACGGCUGGCGUCCUUAAUCCAGUGGCUACUGUAAAACAAACCAAAAUAAAAUAUUUAGAAACACUGUCAUUGGUAAAAUAUUCAAAUUACAAAGAUGAGGAAGACAACAAGAUGUAAGGAAAGAGAAUGUUAAUCAUGCUAGGCAAAUAACACUUACCAACGUUACUUGGAGAGACGAGGCAAUGAGAAACUCCUCCGAUGUUGAACUGUGUUCUGGAUGAACUGAGACUAUGCGUCUGAACGUGACGUUCAGGAGCAGUUGGUCACAAUUGACACUCAAAUGACUGUUAGGCAAUGAACACUUUGAAUAAUAGAAAUAUUUAUAAUCUUUACAUUCCGGCCACUAAAAUGACAGCGAAGGCGGCGCAUGGGAUAGGGAGAAUGUGCUGUGCAGCGCAAGGUCGCCGGAGCGAAUCCUGGCUGCUCCCUGUGCCAAGUCGAAGUGUUCCUGAGCAAGACCCCUAACCCCAAUUACUCCACAUAAAUGGACAUUUUGGAUAAAAAAGUGACUGAGAUACUAUCUCAUUAUGAUGACUUACAGGACCUGUUUUUCAGUGGCUGACAUUGGCUUCCAUACAUUAACCUACAACAGAUGUAGAUGGAUUGUGAUUCACUACACUUGUAUUUCCACCACUUCAUAAAAUGGAUGUAACAUGCAGUUGAAUUCCGGUAGUCUGAUAUUAUCGUAAAUUGACAGCUUUAACUGUUUAUUCAUGACAUUGGCCGUUAAUUUACAAGCAAGGGAUGGAAAUUUAACUGCAUGUUACAGUUAUUAUGACAUACUGUAAGAUGCCGUCAGAAAUGCACCGUAAAUUUACAGCAAUUUGUUACAGUGAAGAAGUGACCACUUAUGUUGCAUUCCCACAAGUAGUUAUUUUGCUGGCAUCUCUGCUCUUACAAAAUACAGAGUACCAGCUGAAGUCACCAAAGAACAUGAAUUCAUGGUAAAAAAAUGUCCUCAACAUCUGGUCUAAACCCAGCUCACGUUCCCUAUUAGUGGGCGAACAAUCCAACGGUUGGUGAAUUCUGAUAUGAAUAUUCUGUCACAAUGAUAAGAAGAGCUGACAUCAAAGGAUCAAAAAGCGACAUUGCUAUGAACACUUGGCCGCCACGAGCCAGUUAAUCCUGUGGUAACUUUUCUGACACCUGCUUAAAACCCCAAAAGUCAGAAGGAUCGUGAGCUUUUCCCCCUCUGCUCCACGGGAGGUUUCUGUCCCCCCUAAGCUCGCCUUAGGACACUUGCGUUAACGUUUGAUAGGUGUACCGCCCCGGUCAAACUCCACACCUGAGGGGCUGGGACAGAUGGUGGCACGCCUCGCGCCGGACCAUCAGCUCAAUCCUGAGAUCCAACUACGAGCUUUUUGACGACAGCAACUUUAAUACACGCUAUUGGAGCUGGAAUUACCGUGGCUGCUGGCACCAGACUUGCCCCUCCAAUGGAUCCUUGAUUUGAGGAUUUAAAGUGCACCCAUUCCAAUUACAGGGACUCAAUAGAUUUUUCGUCAUUACCUCCAUGAGUCAGGAGUGGGUAAUUUGCGUGCCGACUGCCUUCCUUGGAUGUGGUAGCCAUUUCUCAGGCUCCCUCUCCGGAAUCAAACCCUUAUUUCCCAUUACCCAUUGUCACCAUAGUAGGAACAUAAAGUACCAUCGAAAGUUGAUAGGGCAGACAUUCGAUUGAGACUUCACCGCCACGGGGGGCCAGCGAUCGGCUCGUGGUUAUCCAGAGUCACCAAAGGGACGUGAGUGUCCGAGUGAGGAAAGGAGAGAAUUAGUUGGGUGGCAUAGCUGUGGUAGGAGAAGCCAUGCGAGCAAAUGACAGAGCCGAGAGAGUUGGUGUAGAGCGAGAAGAGGAGGGGGCUGAGGACAGAACCUCUAGUAACUAGUCCAGUAGUAAGAGGACCUCGCCAGGUUACGGCCGCCAGAAGGGAGAGAGCAGAGCCUGUGACACAAAGUUCCUGAAGGGAGCAAAUAAGGAUUUGGUGGUUUACGGUGUCAAAUGCAGCAGAAAGGUCCAGAAGGAUGAGGACAGAGGGGCGGCUCUAGCAGUGUGGAGCUGCUCUGAGACAGCAAGGAGAGCAGUCUCUGUGGAAUGGCCUGUCUUGAAGCCUGACUGGUGGGGGUGAAGGAGGUUGUUAUGGUAGAGAUAGGAGGAAAGUUGGUUAAAGAUAGCACGUUCAAGACUUUUGGACAAAAAGGGAAGACUUGCAUGGCUUAAUCUUUGAGACAAGCAUAUGCUACCGAGGUCGGUGUUAGGGUGAGGUAGAUGGGAGCGGGCCCAAGCGCAGCACACAGGAGUCACAGGGAGGUUCUUCCGACUGGAAAAUAAGAUGUUUAUUUAGAUAUUUAUACAAAUGCAGCGCACAGGGACGGGUUAUGUCCGGAGGGAAGACUGGCCUCGGAGAGCUCGCCAGCCGGCAGGUAGGAAUCUUCGAGCACUAGGGCAAACACAGAAAAAUGUGAAAAAAGACAGCGUCUAUUCUCAGUGAGCAGAGAGAUGGUCUGAAUGGGUAGUUUACCACUCUGACGUCGGAACGAUCUGAAGCUGAAUGGCAGGAAGACCCGGAUUGAUAUGGGAGUCCCCUGAUGGCUGAUUACCGUCAGCUGUUCGAGGUCACACCCUUCGGAGAUGAAUAGGUGGAGACCACACCUCCUUUCAGACACAGGGGAAAACACAGGCAAAGGAAACAAACACAAUGGGAGCUGCUGGACUGACAGCAUGACAGUACCCCCAACCACAUCCAGUAGUCGUCUUACUGUAUACGCAGGAUGGUCAUCAAUGACUCGUGUGGGGGGAGGGGGAGUGGCCAGUGGGGACAGAGGACUGGUGAGGACCGGUUUCAGCUGGGAGACAUAAAAGGUAGGGUGAUCCCUGAGGGCCUUCGGGAUGAUGAGUCUGACUGUGGAGGGGUUAAUGACUGUCUCGAUAACAUAUGGUCUAAUGAAACGUGGUGCUAAUUUCUUGGAGUCUGUCUUCAACGGAAUGUCCUGAGCGGAUAGCCACACCCUCUGGCCUGGUGUGUAGUUGGGGGCCUGGGAAACGGUGUCGGUCAGCAAUCCUCUUGUUUUUGUCAGCUGUUCUCAACAGCGCUGCCUUGGUAUCCCUCCAGAUCUUGCGACAGUGUCGAAGAUGAUGCUGCACCGAAGGAACAGCCAACUCCACUUCCUGGGCUGGGAACAGUGGGGGUUGAUAGCCCAAUGAUCCUUCAAACGGUGACACUCCAGUGGCAGCGGAGGGGAGAGAGUUGUGUGCAUACUCUAUCCAACUUAGGUGAGCAUUCCAGGAAGUUGGAUUUGAAGCGGCAACACAACGAAUCGCAGACUCCAGAUCUUGGUUAGCUCUCAGUCUGUUCGUUAGUUUGUGGGUGGAAUCCUGAUGACAGGCUGACUGUAGCCCCCAGAGCGUGGCAGAACGACUUCCAGACUUGAGAAAUAAACUGAGGACCACAGUCUGAGACAAUGUCCAACAGGAUACCAUGAAGGCGGAAGACAUGAUUCGUCAAGAAAGUCGCCGUUUCACGGGCUGACGGGAGCUUGGGGAGGCCGAUGAAAUGGGCUGCCUUGGAGAACCGGUCCACAAUAGUAUAGUGGUCAUCCCGUCAGACAGAGGUAGGCCGGUGACAAAGUCCACACCGAUGUGGGACCAAGGGCGACCAGGUGUUGGUAAGGGGCGGAGCAACCCCAUAGGUGGUCGGUGAGAGGUUUUGGCCCGCGCACAAGCCGGACAUAUCCCCUAGUGUCCCCAUCCAUGGUAGGCCACCAGAAGUGUCGUCUCAGGAGAGACAACGUCCGACUAAUCCCUGGAUGACAUGCGAAGCGAGAGGCUUGCCCCCACUGCAGGACUUGAGAGCGGACUGACUCCAGAACAAACAGCCGAUUUGAAGGUCCUGUGCCAGGAUCUGGAUCCACGUGUUGCGCCUCCCGAACCGCUGCCUCCACCUCCCAGGUCAACGCUCCCACCACCAGCGAUACGGGCAGAAUGGUAUCCGAUCCACUCGGGGACUCCUUCUCUGCAAACUGGCGAGACAGGGCAUCUAGCUUGAUGUUCCUUGACCCGGGACGGUACGUGAUUGAAAAAUUGAAACGGCCAAAAAAAUAAUGCCCACCGAGCCUGACGGGAAUUCAGCCGCUUCGCUGACUGGAUGUAGGCGAGGUUCUUGUGGUCCGUCCACACAAUGAAAGGGAUCUCCGCUCCCCUCAGCCAAUGUCUCCACUUCUCUAGAGCCAACUUCACUGCCAGAAGUUCCCGGUUACUGACAUCAUAGUUGGUCUCCGCAGGGGACAGGCGUCGGAAAAAAAAAUGCACAUGGGUGCAAUUUCUGACCAGGCCCGGAGUGUUGGGAGAGGACAGCCCCAACCCCACUGUCGGACGCAUCAACCUCAACCACAAACUGUAGCAAAGAGUCAGGUUGCACCAGAAUGGGUGCGGAGGUGAAGCGGUCCUUCAACAAGGCAAAAGCUCGAUCUGCUUCAGGGGACCACCGGAAAGGAACCGCAGGAGAUGUGAGUCUGGUCAGAGGAGCAGCAAUUGUACUGUAGUCCCGUAUAAAACGUUGAUAAAAGUUGGCGAAAUCCAGGAACCGUUGCAACAGCUUCUUGGAGGAGGGUUCGGGCCACUCUGCCACUGCUUUAAUGUUCUCCGGGUCCGUCCUCACCUGACCACUCUCAAGGAUGUAGCCAAGAAAUCCCACUGAGUUGACGUGAAACUCACUUCAUUUCUCGGCCUUUACGAACAACUUGGACCUGACGUACAUGAAGCCGAUGUUCUGAGUGGUUACGAGAAAAAAUCAAAAUGUCAUCAAGGUAGACAAAGGCAAACCGGUUCAAAAAGUGGAACCCGGUAGCAGCUCGAUCGCACAAUCAUAACGAUAAUGCGGUGGCAAGGAUAGGGCCCUCUCCUUACUGAAUACCUCACCGAGGUCAUGAUACUCCGCAGGGACAACUGACAGAUCAGGAGGGGCCGACUCCGGGAGAGCUAAACUGCCCCCUAUUUGAGGCAACGCGGACUGCAGGCAGGAAGAAUGGCAGAACCUACUCCAUUCACCGAUCUUACUUGCGGUCCAGUCAAUGUGAGGGUUGUGUUGCCUCAGCCACGGAUGUCUGAGAACAAGGGAGGUCUUCGGAGCAGAAAAAACAAAAAACUGAAUUACCUCACAGUGGUUACCAGACAAAAUAAGGAGCAGGGGCUCAGUGGGGUGGGUGACCAGGGCUAGGGAUCUUCCGUCUAAGGCACACACACGGACCGGGGGAACUAGUGGUUCCGUUCUGAUUCCUGCCUGAGAAACCACCUCUGUGUCCAAAAAACUCUGCUCAGCGGCAGAGUCAAUCAACGCAAGUAAGGGCAGAGACAGCUGUUUUAAGCAAAGUCUUGCAGGGAUUUGGGUUCUGAGCCUGGUAUUGCAGGGGUACUCUAAAGUGCUCGCCAGAACCCCCAUAGCUACUGGUGAGCCCUGUCUUUUGGGCGGAGCGGACAGGCAGUCAGAAAAUGUCUCACCCGCUCUGAUCCUUCUCUGGCGUUCGGAGGUGUUGGGCCCUCCACCCUGCUAGUAAACCACACCACGUUUUUCUUCACCGAGGACAAAGGAAAAACACAAACAUAUAGGGGUCCCCCGCGGCCUGAUGCCAGGGGCUGAUAACAGGGGCCCUGUGGCUCUCCAGACCCCCUUGGCCAUAAAAAGAGGAUGUACGAAAGAACACCGAGAGCUCCCAUUGGCCAAGGACAGUGACAUUUAUUUAUGGACCUUAACUUUAUAAAAAGAGAUUGCGCCAAAGAAUUGAUCUUUCGCCUAACUUCCCAGUUAGUAAUAGAUCGAGACACAACGUUGCUUUCUUUUCUUUUCCCUCCAAUUCCCAAGUUCCAGUCUUAAAGUCUUAAUCUCGCUGGAUGAACUCAAGACUCUCGCUCCACUCCAUCCCCGCUUCUUUUUGCUUUCGAUUUUAUUCCCGUUUCACCCCGGAGAGACAGCUGCUCUGACACCCCGCGCCGCCGCUUUUCCGAACGAGAAGUUCCAAAUCGCCUUUGCCCACUGAGUUUCCCUACGCGGAGCUCAACUUUCCUCAAUCAGCAGGAAGCUGAUGACGACCAUACUGAUUCAUGCUGAUCUACGUUCUGCUGGUCGCGGGUCAGAAUCUCCUCGCGUUGCGUCUAAGUAUUCCCCCUCCCCCUUUUUCCAAGCCGUGGUCCCUAGCAACAGAUAGCGUUGCCAUAGCAGUGCAAUUAUAGUCUUCCUUGUUGUUUUACUACGUGGAACACCCUGCAUUUUGCUCCCGCUCGUGUUGAGUAGUCGUAUUACACAGCCUAACGUUCCCGUCUUCCUCGGUGGUUUGAUUUAACGGUCUCACUUCCGCCCCGCUGCUCUCACUCGCCCCCCCACAGUCAUUCCUUCCCUGCACCCCCCUCGUCACACACACACACAGUUUGUUUAGUGAGUAGGUUUAAAAUAGGUGUUAUGGGGUUUGUUGAUUGCAGUUAUAGGUGAUCUUGAUCGGUGUUCCUGUGAGUUAAUAAACCCUGUUAUACUUUAAAAGAACCGUUUUCCUGUGUUUACUUGUGCAUUUAUAUGGUGGUGACAGUUGACAUACAUUGCCAGUGCUCGAACUUAAAUCCUUCCAACAUCUUCACUCUCAAGGAGUGAAUAUCAAUUAUGAGACUUGAUUUAUGGUAUUGGUUAUUGGUCCCUGUUAUCUCAGGGUGGUGCCCAGUUAUUUAUUUAUUCUGAAGAAGUAUCUUAGUGAUUAUUAAUAAUUCUAUUAAUGUCCAUAAGUUAGUUCCUCAUUUGCUAGUAACCUAAUACGACCUCCUAGCCGCUCCCAACAGAUGGAGUGAGGCUAGCGCGACCAACCUGCAUGGGUUCCUCCGACUGGACGUGGGUACUAGAGUUUGAACUGUAGCUCUCGGAAACAUUGGGAGGGAAUCUCGCAAGAUGGGAUGAUGUGGCAUGGGUGCUUCUAGGAGUGAAGGGCCUACCGUUCCUCUCCUGGCGUCGUUCCCGAAUACGGUUAUCAAGUGUAAUGGCUAUUUUGAUUGCUGCGUCCAGGGAGUCAGACCCGUCCCGGCCAGCAAGUUCAUCCUUCAUCUGUUCCGACAAGCUGUGUAGAAAAACACCUCGUAACUCCUUGUCUCCCCAGCCGGACUCUGCUGCCACCACCACCCGGAACUCAGAGUACACAGAGUACUCCGCCACACUUUGGUUCUGUCGGAGAAUGAGCAAACGUUUAGCAGGGUCCCCAGCACAAACAUGAUGGUCAAAAACUUCUCUCAGUUCCUUCAUAAAACGGGCAUAGGUGACAUACCCGAUCCCUCCUCCUCCUCCCAACAAAGCCUCGGCCCAGUCUAAUGCUCUUCCUCGCAAUAGUCCUGUGACAUAUGAUACCUUAGCCUCAUCUGAGGCGAAGGUGACGGGUUGUCGGGCGAAUACCAGUGAAGCCUGGAGAAGGAAUCCUCUGCACCUUCCCAGAUCUCCUGCAUAUGGUUCGGGUGGUGGGACAGGCGUCUCCUUUAUUACCAGAGGUGGGGCGGGGGCAGCGGGUGGAGUAGCCGAAUCAGGAGAUGGAACCAAGCGGGCAGUGAUAAUCUCCAAACUCCUUCCAAUCUCCCCUAAUUGAGCCCUGAAGGCCUGUUGCGUAUCCAUGAGUCCCUGUAGCAUCUGAUGGUGUCGGCCCAACAACUCUCCAUGACUGCAAACCGCCCCUUGCAGGGCCUCCUUGUCUGCUGGGUCCAUCUGUAUGGCCAGAUCGUUCUGUUAGGGUGUGGUAGAUGGGCGUGAGCCCAAGCGCAGCACACAGGAGUCACAGGGAGGUUCUUCCGACUGGAAAAUAAGAUGUUUAUUUAGAUAUAUAUAUACACACAAAUGCAGCGCACAGGGGAGUUGAGUCCGGAGGGAAGACUGGCCCUCGGAGAGUUACUUAGCUUUGAAAGUACUUCACCUUCAGCAUUUUCAACGAAAAGCCUGGAAAGUCCACGAGACUCGAUCCGCAGAGCUUUGGGACAUUUCUUUCCCAUCUUAAUAGGGGAAAUUGUCCUGUUUAUGUGGGAUGUGGGCACCAGAUCAACAACUCUGACAACAUUGAUCAAUUGCAGGCUGUGUAAAAGAAGGCCUAGCGGCUUAUUAACUAAAGAAACUAAAGCUAAAAGGGUCACAUUAUAGUUCAGAGCUUUGUGUCGCUGAGCUGGAAGCACUACAAGUUGGAGAAUGCUAGAAGACAAAGAAGAUGUGCAGGGAAGGGUGUUUGCCGAAAAUGUAUUCUAAAAUGGUGCUGGCUUACAUGACUUUAGAUGCCUUAAAAACUCUAAGAUUCUCUUAUUUAUAAUAAUUUUGACUCUAAUCUAGUAAGUCUGAACUGGCUGCAAGUUGUUUUUUAUUAUUAAUGGAUCGUUUGUUAAUUUUCUAAAUUACCUGAACUAACCUAACCCGAAUUCCAUUUCUGCUCAAAAUAUUACUUAAAUGAAUGAGUUAUGAAAAGUUUAAGUAUAAUCAACAGCUAAAUCCUAUAAUGAUCUUCUUCAUGAAUCAUCAGCUAUCAUUCUUAAAAUGGCUCUUAACCCUUGUAUGGUGUUCGGGUCUGUGGGACCCGUUUAUUAUUUUUUCAAAGCCAGACUUAUUGGCCAUGGCUCAUUUUCAGCGAAGAACAUACACUCACCUCAAAGGAUUAUUACGAACACCAUAGGCUACUAAUAUUGUGUUUCACCCCCUUUCACCUUCAGAAGUGCCUUAAUUCUACGUGGCAUUGAUUCAACAAGGUGCUGAAAGCAUUCUUUAGAAAUGUUGGCCCAUAUUCAUAGGAUAGCAUCUUGCAGUUGAUGAAGAUUUAUGGGAUGCACAUCCAGGGCACGAAGCUCCCGUUCCACCACAUUACAUGUCAUUUAGCGGACGCUUUUAUCCAAAGCGACGUACAAUAAGUGCAUUCAACCAUAGGGUACAAACUCAGGAGAACAAGAAACAAGAAAGUGCAAUUUCCUCAAAGAUGCUCUGUUGGGUUGAGAUCUGGUGACUGUGGGAGCCAUUUUAGUACAGUGAACUCAUUGUCAUGUUCAAGAAACCAAUUUGAAAUGAUUCGAGCUUUGUGACAUGGUGCAUUAUCCUGCUGGGUAGCCAUCAGAGGAUGGGUACAUGGUGGCCAUAAAGGGAUAGACAUGGUCAGAAACAAUGCUCAGGUAGGCCGUGGCAUUUAAACGAUGCCCAAUUGACACUAAGGGGUCUAAAGUGUGCCAAGAAAACAUCCCCCACACCAUUACACCACCACCACCAGCCUGCGCAGUGGUAACAAGGCAUGAUGGAUUCAUGUUCUCAUUCUGUUUACGCCAAAUUCUGAUUCUACCAUCUGAAUGUCUCAACAGAAUUCAAGACUUAUCAGACCAGGCAACAUUUUUCCAGUCUUCAACUGUCCAAUUUUGGUGAGCUCUUGCAAAUUGUAGCCUCUUUUUCCUAUUUGUAGUGGAGAUGAGUGGUACCCGGUGGGGUCUUCUGCUGUUGUGGCCUAUCUGCCUCAAGAUUGUGCGUGUUGUGGCUUCAAAAAAAAUGCUUUGCUGCAUACCUCGGUUGUAAGGGUUAUUUUAGUCAAAGUUGCUCUUCUAUCGGCUUGAAUCAGUUGGCCCAUUCUCCUCUGACCUCCAGCAUCAACAAGGCAUUUUUGCCCACAGGACUGCCGCAUACUGGAUGUUUUUCCCUUUUCACACCAUUCUUUGUAAACCCUAGAAAUGGUUGUGCGUGAAAAUCCCAGUAACUGAACAGAUUGUGAAAUACUCAGACCGGCCCGUCUGGCACCAACAACCAUGCCACACUCAAAAUUGCUUAAAUCACCUUUCUUUCCCAUUCUGACAUUCAGGAGAUUGUCUUGACCAGGACCACACCCCUAAAUGCAUUGAAGCAACUGCCAUGUGAUUGGUUGAUUAGAUAAUUGCAUUAAUGAGAAAUUGACCAGGUGAGUGUAUAUCAGACAAAACUUUCAUCGACCACACACCGUAACCCCCCCCCCCACCCCUACACAUUUAUAUUAUACAGGGUGUUCGGGUCCACUGGCGCCAAGCUAAUAAAAGUGUGGUCCUGUGUACCUUCAGUCUGUCCUCAAGGGAUGAGAGUUGUCCUGGGCAUGGCUCAGGGACUCAGUGGACAUCAUGGACUACAAUGCCAUAAAAGGUGGGGUGGACAACAUGGACAAGCUGGUGUCUGCCUACAGCUGCAAGAGGAGGACCCUACCAUGGCCACUUGUGAUUUUCUUUGAAAUACUGGACAUCUCGGCGUACAACGCCUUUUGUCAUCUGGAUGGCAUUGAACCCAGAGUGAAACAGAGGGAAGCUCCAGAGGACACGCCUCUUUCUCGAGGAACUUGGAAAGACACUGGGGAAACCACAAAUCCCGAGAAGAAAGCAUGCUCCGAGAAUCUCAGCCUCUGCAGCCACCGUGAGGAUUCAGGAGGACAAUGGUGGUGCCCCAUCCACCCAACCUACAGAACCAUGAACAACUUUGUUUUGUUUGUAAAUUUGUUGAAUUUUGUCCACUCAUAUCUUGAUUUAUAAUUGAUUUUCUUGAUUCUAUCCAAACAAAAAAACGAGUAGCACUUUAAUUUGUAAAUGUGUUAUAACAAAGUCCAACAAACCGACAACACCUGCUGAGUAACAAAAAAAUGAACACCAUACAGGGGUUAUAAAAUAAUCUACUAGCAAAUUUGAUAUGAAUAAAAUGAUCACUUCAAUGACACCUCAUACAUUUUCUUAUAAUUUGCCUGUUGGUUGAAGACAAAGAAGACAAAUUCAACUUUCCUUAAGACCUUGGAACUUCACCUGAUUUGAAUUCAGUGCUGCAGGUAGUUAACAGUACAUUGUUUUCUCUAGAACUUUGAUUAAACAACAGUUUGCAUAUCGAGCAGCUGUCACUGGGAAUGCAGGAACACAAAUAAUGGUCAAUGCCUCAAUUCCCAAACCCACCUGCACUCCGAUAACGUUAUGACCAACCGCUUUCCAGCAGCAAUUCUUGCCAAACACCUGUCCUCCUGUCAGAUCGCUCAUUGUAACGGCUGAAUGCUUGGUAAAAGUCAACAGAGAGAGAGAGAGGGAGCACUGCCUAUUUAUGACUGAAAAUACACACACCUACACACUGACGCACCUGGCUGCCUCUGCUAAAAUGUUACCAUCUGAAGAGGCUGUCAGCUAGUGUUGCAAGCCUUUUUUGCUCAAUGGGUAAUUUGUAUUUACAAUGUAAAGCUUGCUGCAAUGCGGAGGGAGUGGACAUGGUCAAGGAAUCGUGAUGCUGAUGCCAAGUUGGCUGGUUGGAAUCAAACCACCUUUCUUUUGUUUUUGUAAUGAUAACCUUAUAUAAAAGUAAUUUUCCUCAUCAUCUGUGUUCUCCUUGUGUGAUUGUGGUAUCAUUCCAAACUACAAAGUAGGGGUGUAACGAUUCAAAUCGCGAUUCAUGGUUGCCGAUUCGAUUCAUGGACGAUCUGGGUUAAUUUAGGACGAUUCGAUUAGAUUCAGUGACUUGAAAUCGAUUCAGUAACUUUACUGGACAGUGCAGGCAAAGUUUCUGAGAUCCCUGUUGUUUCUUGUAAGGAAACAAAGUUUAAAUUAAUUAUGGAUAUUAUAAACAAGCAAACAAUUAAUGGAAAAUGUAUUAACCUUUUAUUUGAAUCAAGUGCCAUUUUCAAUGUAAACAUUACACAAUAAUUACACAAUGUUUGGAUCAAUUUACAACCACAUUGUAGGGUCGCAUGUCUUUACAGAUAAACUUGGCAAUUGUUAAUGUGAUGUCACUGUAGGGAUUGUAUUGGCCAGGUGAUGAGCAGUAACUGGUUUCCUCCAGACAUGACACUUUGUAUUCAGGCCAAAGAGUUAAAUCUUUGUUUCAUCAGACCAAAUAAUUUUGUUUCUCAUGGUCUGAGAGUCCUUCAGGUGCUUUUUUGCAAACUCCAGGCAGGCUGUCAUGUGAGGAGUGACUUCCGUCUGGCCACUCUACCAAACAGGCCUGAUUUGUGGAGUGCUGCAGAGAUGGUUGUCCUUCUGGAAGGUUCUCCUCUCUUCAUUAGAACAACAUUGGAGCUCUGUCAGAGUGACCAUUGGGUUCCUGGUCACCUCCCUGACUAAGGCCUUCUCCCCUGAUCGCUCAGUCUGGCUGGGCGGUCAACUCUUGGAAGAGUCCUGGUAGUUCCAAAUUUCUUCCAUUUCCGGAUUAUGGAGGCCACUGUGCUCACUGGGACUUUCAAUGCUGCAGAAAUAUUUCUGUACCCUUCGCCAGAUCUGUCCCUCGAUACAAUUCUGUCUCGGCGGUCUACAGAUAAUUCCUUGGACUUCGUGGCUUGGUUUGUGCUCUGAUAUGCACUGUCAACAGUGAUACCUUAUAUAGACAGGUGUGCGCCUUUCUCAAUCAUGUCCAAUCAACUGAAUUUAGCACAGGUGGACUCCAAUCAAGUUGUAGAAACAUCUCAAGGAUGAUCAGUGGAAACAGGAUGCACCUGAGCUAAAUUUUGAUUGUCAUGGCAAAUGCUGUGAAUACUUAUGUAUAUGUUAUGUUUUCGUUCUUUUAACAGAUUUGCAAACAUUUGCAAAAAACAGUUUUCACUUUGACAUUAUGGGUUGUUGUGUGUAGAAUGUUGAGGAAAAUAAUCUAUUUAAUCUAUUUUGGAAUAAGGCUGUAACAUAACAAAAUGUGGAAAAAGUGAAGCGCUGUGAAUACUUCUAGUUUUGAUCUAGUAAUAAAACUGUCUCAGUGGCAUCUGUUGAUGACAAAAACAUUGAAAUAAAAAAAGUCCUUCUACACUUUUGUAAAUCCUGAUUAACAGCAUUCAGGGAAACAAUACAAAAUACAACAUUGAAUACUAAACAGUUGUGUUAUGCCGCAAAUCCAUGACCUAUUGAUAUUUUACUUCAUUAAUGCAAGUAUAUUUUUUACAUUUUCUUAGUUUAGAAGGAAUUCAUUAUAUUUUACACACUCAGUAGCCCUAAUAGUUUCCAUAGUGCCUUCACUUAAAUAACUUUACCAUAUUUCUUUAUCAUGAUGCCAUUCAACAACAUGUCAUUCGUUUUUCACUUUCUACAAGCUAUUGUAUAGAUUAGCUUUGUCCUGAUGACGGCGCUGGAAGAAAUUUUAAGGGAUCACCAAAGAGGUUAAAUAUCAUCCUGAUUUCAUGGUAACCCCUCGACCAGUGUUGGACCAACUGAACCACUGACACAGUGGCCGUCAGAGGGAUAGAGCUUUUUAACCUUCUGUGCUAACAAUCUGAGCUGUUCAGAUUCAGUUAGUCACAUGUCGGACAACAGCAAACACAUGCAAUACAGUAACAUGUUAAACAUUGAUUAUAGACUUGCCAUUUUCCAGAGCCCAUAGUUGAUGAAAGGGCUUUUCAGAGAUGUCAGAGCGGGACUGUGUCGAUUUUGGUAAUCACCCAGCUCCUUUCCCUGAUCCUGUUCCCUCGGAUGAAUGCCGACAAAUGAGACUUGAAGCCAGUGGCAGGGACACGAAGGAGUUCAUAGGACACUGAGAAGCCGAUAGGUGAUGAUGCCCAGUGGAGGUUACUGCCUCAGACAAAACCACGCCAUGGCUUUUAGCAAUCAGAAGUGCAUUACAGUGCAGGAACCGACGGUGCAAUCAGGCUAGUGCUCCGGGAAUCAUGGCGAUCUUUAAAAUACCAUGUGUAGGAUUUACUCUAAAUAUAAUGGUGAUGAUACAGUAUAUUAUUAAAAUGAUUUGUGAUUGUUGGAAUGAGCAUUCCAACUAUUGUUCUUCUCAGCUUUAUUUGUUGGAAUGCAGCCUCAUGCAUCUUCUAUUUCUUCCGUGGCACCUUUCAACUCCUUCACACUUUCAGCUAUGAACACCGUUCAAAUAUUAAAAUAUUCAGCUCCUUCAGGACAUCCCUGCUAUGACUUUUCAGCUUUCUACUUAUGUUUGAAUUAAUAUAAAACAAAUUCAUAAACCUUUUUUAACAUGGUUUUCCAAUUUCAUAUUCUCUUAAACUUCUUCAACUUUCAAAUCUUUCUGUUUCGUCAAUCUUUCAGGUACAGCCACCAUUUAAACUCUAAACUAUUUUAUAAAAAAAAAAACUGCUUAUUGAUAUUCAACUUUUUUCAAUAUCACUGUUUAUGUUUCAUCCGUUUUUUUGUCCGUUUCUGAGAUUUACAUGGGUCUCUAUGAAGAGAGCUAGAAUCCAUAAUCUUCAUCUCCGGAUGGUGUCUUUGGAUCAAUGUUUUGUUUUUCUGCCAACCGUGUCUUCGGAUCAAUGAUUCGUUCAUCUGCCAGUUACGAGUCUUUGGAUCCUUUAUCGUGUGACCUGCAUAGGCUCAGUAGUACCCAGUCGGGAAAUAAGCAAAUCAUUUCUGUUUCCUUGACUGAGCCUAUGCAACAGUCCCGAUGCGCGGCCAUGUUUGAAAUAUUGAAUGUUUUGCCUCGCCAUUACUUACACUCUGCUCGUCCCGGGUCUUUGUUUGUCGUAACUCAUGACAUGCACUUUUCAAAAAUUUCCAAAUGCAAAUUUCCAUGACUUUUCCAGGCCUGGAAAUGACCAUUUUAAAAUUCCAUGACUUUUCCAGGUUUUCCAUGACCGUACGAACCCUGUACUAAAGUUCGGAGACCCCAAACUAUGUAUCAUAUUGUAACCCUUUUUAAUUCUGUCUACUGCUCAGACAAACCAACUUGCCCUUACAUGAACCAUCAAGUCGGUUGUACCUGCCCAACAAGCUGCCUCUCUGACCUUUGCUCUAGUCAAGCUGUAAUAAGAUGGCUUUGACACAAAAACAAAAAUAAUUGUCUAUGUUAGACUACAAGAGGUCACUGCAAUUAUUUCGUCUGUGAAAACCGAGGGAGACCAACCGCAUGAGAGGAGGAGACAAUCUUCUGCCUUGUUCUUAUUUACAUUUCUUUCUCCUCGUAUUUUGUUUGCUCUCGUUCAAAUUGAAAAUGUCACCAGAAGAAAUGUCAGGAAAAUUCACCCACUUCUCACUCAGUCUGAAGCAAAGCGGUUUGUUUCUCUUUACAGUUCUCAAGCUUGUGUCAUAUUGUCACAUUUUGACUCAUUGGCAGACAAAACACGUCCCUGUUUAUCUGGUCAUAUGAUCUGAGACUCAAAUCAAGACCAACAAGGAUUCACAAAUGCACUAAAUGUAGUCUAUACACACAUUAGCUAGCUAGCUAGGAUGUGGAGGUCUGUGAAUACAUGUAUGUGUUUGUGAGUGUCUAGUUCAUUCCGUGCCGUGCUAGCAAAAAUGGCACCACGCCGUCACGUCCACCGAGAGUACUGUGGGUCUGAACAUUUCCUGUACUGAGAUAUUUUCUACGUUUGUUAAGAUUUAUCAUAUGUUUUGCACUUCAUUUUGAAUAUGGUAAAUAAAUGGCAUUCUGCGGAGCGAGGCGCAAUGACCAGACGUGUAUGAGCUGUAUGUCAUUUGUGUGUCCGGUCCACAGAAUCAUGAUCAUCUGCCUACUUGGUGCCAAUCCUGGUACCUGUAACAUUUGCUAACUCACUUUGAAUUACAUGCUCUUGGUGGACUAUCCACUACACUGGCUGGUGUUUUUUAGUGUGUAUGUGGCACACCCAAAGAUGUAAACACAUGAAUAGGCAUCUGUAAUUUAGGAAGGGAUUUGUUAAAAUCUAAUAUGUAAAACAGUGAGAGUAGUUAUGGCAGUGUGGGAUUUGAGCAGGUGGACCAUACAGAGGGACAGGAAGAGUGUUGCAUUCCCUCGGGGCGGGGGGAAACUAGGGGCACGGGAGCAGUUGCACCCGGGUUUUUAUGGGCGCGACUCCCGCUCGCUCUGCAGAAACAACGUGCAUGUCGAACUGAAUGCCUGGUGUCGUUUCUGCUGUGCAACUGUAUCUGUCGUACAGGUUGGUGCUUACGUAAAUGGCCAAUACCCAAUAUUGUUAAAACUCUCUAAAUGUACACGCUAAUUCAAAAGGGGUUUGUGACGUAAUUUCGACAGUGUAAAUACCUAGUGUGUAGAUUUGCAACAGACUCGAGCGACGAGUUUAGCCUAAGCAGGUCAGCUAUCUGCUUUUUUGACCUGAGCGUUGUCUUGCAGGGAUAGCGCCGACACUGUAUUAUUGUCACACGAUACGCACAUGGGCUCGGACAUCGCUGUUAUUAACUGAAAGUUAGAUGAUGUUUAGACAUUGCUUGUUUUAUGUGAAUGCUAUUUUGUUAAUUAAAACACUGCUGUCUCGUUGGGGUGAGCACAUCAUGUCAGCCACACGUAAGGAACUCGUUUGGAGCAUCAAAAAGAACUUGUACAAGCUUACGGGCUGCGAAGCCUACCAUCUUGCAAGAGACAUAACAACUGACAGUCAAAUUGAAGACCUCGAUUCAAGUAAUGAGGAAGCUUAUGUGGGCCUCAUUAUGAACUAUAUUAUGUCAGAUACCUUAUUGGACUCUGAAGAUGAAGGUAUAAGUCAGCUGCUAAUGUUAAAUGAUAUGUAGUGUUAUUGAAAAUCGUGACACAGUUACCAUGGCAACUGAUCUUACACCACAUCACACAAAAACUCACACACCGCCAGUCAGAGCAUAGACCAGCUCAGAAGCAUGCACAAUGAGUUAGGUAAGAAGUUGCAACACUUAACCGUCACUAGUAACACUGCACCUAACGUCACUGAUUGUGGAGGUGGUCCAGAACCACACUCACCACCAGGUCACAUGCCAUCACAUAUAGCUUCAGAGAGAGUGGUGUUCUUAAAGGACCUCUCUUACCUCCAGCGGAGGGAGUUUAAGGUGCAUGGCGGACAGAUCGGGGACCAAAACUCUGACAUAACGUACAACAGUGUAUGCAAACAAAUGGAUGAGGGAGUCACAGAGGGUUUCAGUGAGACCGAAGUGAUUCGAGGUGUGUUAAGGAUUACCAAGGCAGGUGCGUGACAGUUGAGUGCGCCAAACCCACAACCAACUGCUGUCAACACCCCUUGUGCGGUGCCACUAAUUGGCAAGAAGAGUCUGUUAAAUUGCUUCAUCAGUGGUUAUGCUGUGACUGUUUUAUUUGAUACUGGCUCACAAGUAAGCAUAAUUGACAGUUCAUGGAAACAGACCUUUAUAUCUCAUUAUGCAGUAAGGCCCCCAGAGAAACUGCUUGAUCCAGGAGAAAGCCUUGACCUAUACGCUGCAAAUAGACAGCCAAUCCCAUAUGAUGGAUGGGUGGAGCUAACAGUCAACCUCCCAGCCACCACAAGCCCCGACCUUACCAUGGAGAUCCCCUUCUUGGUUAGUCAGGUUCCACUCCCCCAGCCUCUGCUUGGGGCUAAUGUCCUUGGAUAGAUGAUUAACAGUCAAGAGUCUUCCGCUGAUGCACAAGCAUUAGUUGUCAACCUUCUUUGCAAAGCCCUCGGAGUGGAAGAACAGAACAUGCUAAAACCCUGAUCAACUCCAUCCAAGCACACCAGACACCAAGCUACAGUAUGGCUACAAUCAGGGUAGGAAAAGAUGAUGUUAACAUCCCAGCUGGUAAAACAAUGCAGGUGAGAUGUAGAGUGCCAUCGAAUUUUAACACGUCCAAUUUGGUUGUACUAUAUGAACCUUCAGAAGAAAGCACCACCCUAGAACAACUGAAUCUUGGGGGUGGUCUAUUAGAAGUCAGUAAAGGCCGGUGGCCAUUUGUUAAUGUGCCCAUUUCUAACCACACCAAGCAUGUAAUCACUCUCCCAAAGAGGACCCAGCUGGGCUCCAUCCAACACGUUGCCAAGAUUAUCGAAGUCUACAAAGAGGAGGCACAACAAGUUAAACCACCAAAAGCU
ensembl:lncRNA